rnacentral:rRNA from 1 species
AUUGAACGCUGGCGGCAGGCCUAACACAUGCAAGUCGAGCGGAUGAAGGGAGCUUGCUCCUGGAUUCAGCGGCGGACGGGUGAGUAAUGCCUAGGAAUCUGCCUGGUAGUGGGGGAUAACGUCCGGAAACGGGCGCUAAUACCGCAUACGUCCUGAGGGAGAAAGUGGGGGAUCUUCGGACCUCACGCUAUCAGAUGAGCCAGGUCGGAUUAGCUAGGUGGUGGGGUAAAGGCCUACCAAGGCGACGAUCCGUAACUGGUCUGAGAGGAUGAUCAGUCACACUGGAACUGAGACACGGUCCAGACUCCUACGGGAGGCAGCAGUGGGGAAUAUUGGACAAUGGGCGAAAGCCUGAUCCAGCCAUGCCGCGUGUGUGAAGAAGGUCUUCGGAUUGUAAAGCACUUUAAGUUGGGAGGAAGGGCAGUAAGUUAAUACCUUGCUGUUUUGACGUUACCAACAGAAUAAGCACCGGCUAACUUCGUG